rnacentral:lncRNA from 1 species
UUAAAGAGAGAGAGAGAAUUUUUUUAAUAUUUAUUUUUUAGUUUUCGGCGGACACAACAUCUUUGUAUGUGGUACUGAGGAUCGAACCCGGGCCGCACGCAUGCCAGGCAAGUGCACUACCGCUUGAGCCACAUCCCCAGCCCAUAUAUAUAUAUAAUUUAAAAAUCAAGCCAUAUAUAAAUUAUUGAGAAUCAGAUGGUAUAAUUUCUCAAAGAGAUCACAGAGUAGUUGGAGACAGUUGAAUAAAGGUGUUUUCUAAAAUCUAAGAGAAAUACUUUUGAACUUCUAAUUCUGUACCAGCCAAUCUAAACUGUUAGAAUAGGGAAAAAAUGUUGUCUGACAUCCAAGCUCACAGAAAUGUCAUUCUUAUUUGUUUCUAUUAGUGCUUUAAAAGCUAAAUUUGACUUCUACAAAAAUGAGGGAAUAAACUAGAAAGGGGAACACUUUGGGUUGAGGACUCAGGGGGUGAGGAAAGUCCCCAGGUCCCAGCUCAGUGUCCAGCCUGGACAGCAAGGAGAAGUGUUCAGGCUGAGCACUCAGGCGCGAUGCUGCUGCGUAGUAAUAGUAGGCAUGACAGAUCAGCAGCCCAGGAGGAAGAGGAGAACAUUAUCUGAUGGAUUCGACACUUGGAGGCCGAAAUUCAGCUUUCUGUGGGAAAUUAUGGGAAUAAUGUAGCAUGAUACAGAAAAGCAAGCCAAAAAAGAGACAAUAAUUAACUCAGCUAAUUUCUUUAAUUACAGGAAUAGAAAGAAAAGAAACAUAACAAUAUUGCUUACAUGAUUUAAAUAAUAAUUAUACAAUCUGAAUAAUAUAUAUCCUCAAUAUUGAAUUAAACAAAAUGACAAUAUAAUCUCAUACCAGGACAGUGAGCUGUGUGUGUGUGUGUGUGUGUGUGUGUGUGUGGUGUGUGGUAACUCUGCAUGUGUAGUGUAUGCACAUGUGUGUGGUGUGUAUGAUGUGUGUGUAGGGGUGGUGUGUGUGCAUAUGUGUGGUGUGUGUGUAUGUGGUAUGUAUGAUGUGUGUGUAAUACAUGUGCAUAUGUGUGGUGUGUGUGCAUGUGUAGUAUGUGCAUGUGUGUGUGUGGUAUGUACAUGGUGAGUGCACAUGUGUGGCAUGUGCAUAUGUGUGUGUGGAAUGUGUGCGUGUAUGGUGUGUGCAUACAUGUGGUGAUGUGCAUAUGUGUGUGGGGGGUGUGUGGGUGUGUGUGUGCGUGUGGUGUUCAUGUGUGUAUAGGUGUGUCUGGGGCAUGGAGAAGAGUGAAAUCUAAUCUUUUAAGAUGGAAAGUUAAUGGACAAUGAGUACAUUUGAAAAAUAAAAAGCUGAUUUUUAAAGAACAUGCAAGAGUCUGAAUGCUUAUGUUCCCCUGAAAUCCACGUGUAGAAAUCCUUCUCCAGGGUGUUAGGAGGAGGGUCUAUGGGAAGUGGCUUCGAGGGUGGGGCCUCAAGGUCUUGAGGAUGGGGCCUCAAGAAGGGCCUUGUGGACGGGCCCCAGGAGAGCUCCCCCAGCCCUUCUUAGUGAGGAGAGGGCUGGAGAAAGCAGCCCCACUGAGGUCCACAGGUGGCGCCCUGACCCGAGAUGCUGGCCUGUAGAACUAAGUCUCAUUGUGAGCCCCUGCCUGAGGUGUCUGCUGCUGCGGCCCCAAGGGGCAGCAGGAUACUAUUUCAUAAUAACAAGAUCAAAGAGAAGAAAGAGCUGAGUGGGCGGGAGUUCAGGGACCCUUGUGCCAAGAGACUACGAUAAAACCCUCUGCCUUGCUGCACUGUUACAGUACAGAAAAUUAAAAAGCAAUUACAAUCAGGCAACAUCAUGGCACGGCUGGCAGUGAGUCAUAGUAGUCAUCUCAAAAGUCCUCUCGGAGCUGACCCAGCUUCCAGACCCGUCAGGCAUCACAGAGGGAAGGGAAGGCUGAGCUGAGGAUCCUCAGCCCUGGAGAGGAGCAGGGCACUGCCCCACUGGUUGCACCCAGCCCUAGCCCACAGCCCGCUUCCCCAAAGUGUUUGCAGGGGACACUGAUCAUCACUCUUCUACAAGGAGAGACACUGACAGAGGCCAGG